rnacentral:tRNA from 1 species
AAUGAUAUGCCUGAAUAAGGGAUUAUUUUGAUAGAAUAAAUUAUGUAGAAAUUCUACUUUCAUUG